GCACUGCUGAGGAGUCCCAAACUAGGACGAAACAGCCGUCUAGUGC
rnacentral:hammerhead_ribozyme from 1 species